rnacentral:rRNA from 1 species
CGUGACGCAGCAACGCCGCGUGAGGGAAGAAGGCCUUCGGGUUGUAAACCUCUUUCAGGAGGGACGAAGGUUCAGGCGCGAACAGCGUCCUGGACUGACGGUACCUCCAGAAGAAGCCCCGGCUAACUACGUGCCAGCAGCCGCGGUAAUACGUAGGGGGCUAGCGUUGUCCGGAAUCAUCGGGCGUAAAGCGCGCGUAGGCGGCCCGGUAAGUCCGCUGUAAAAGUCAAAGGCUCAACCUUUGAAUGUCAGUGGAUACUGCCGGGCUAGAGUCCGGAAGAGGCGAGUGGAAUUCCUGGUGUAGCGGUGGAAUGCGCAGAUAUCAGGAGGAACACCAACGGCGAAGGCAGCUCGCUGGGACGGUACUGACGCUAAGGCGCGAAAGCGUGGGGAGCGAACAGGAUUAGAUACCCUGGUAGUCCACGCCGUAAACGAUGGGCACUAGGUGUGGGAGGUGUCGACUCCUCCCGUGCCGGCGCUAACGCAUUAAGUGCCCCGCCUGGGGAGUACGGCCGCAAGGCUA